UACGGAGGGUGCAAGCGUUAAUCGGAAUUACUGGGCGUAAAGCGCACGCAGGUGGCUGAGUCAGUCGAUUGUGAAAGCCCUGGGCUUAACCUGGGAAUUGCAGUCGAUACUACUCAGCUAGAGUAUGGGAGAGGGUAGUGGAAUUCCCGGUGUAGCGGUGAAAUGCGUAGAUAUUCGCAAGAACACCAGUGGCGAAGGCGGCUCACUGGCCCGAUACUGACGCUGAGGUGCGAAAGCGUGGGGAGCAAACAGG
rnacentral:rRNA from 1 species